UACGGAGGGUGCAAGCGUUACCCGGAAUUAUUGGGCGUAAAGCGUCCGCAGGUGGUUAGUUAAGUUGAAUGUUAAAUCUGAAGGCUCAACCUUCAGGCUGUAUUCAAAACUGGCUAACUAGAGACUUCCAGAGGCAAGUGGAAUUCUGUGUGUAGGGGUAAAAUCCGUAGAUACACAGAGGAACACCAAAAGCGAAGGCAGCUUGCUGGGGAAGUUCUGACACUCAUGGACGAAAGCGUGGGGAGCGAAC
rnacentral:rRNA from 1 species